AGAACGAACGCUGGCGGCAUGCCUAAUACAUGCAAGUCGAACGAGAUCUUCGGGUCUAGUGGCGCACGGGUGCGUAACGCGUGGGAAUCUACCCUUGGGUUCGGAAUAACAGUUGGAAACGACUGCUAAUACCGGAUGAUGACGAAAGUCCAAAGAUUUAUCGCCCAGGGAUGAGCCCGCGUAGGAUUAGCUAGUUGGUGAGGUAAAGGCUCACCAAGGCUACGAUCCUUAGCUGGUCUGAGAGGAUGAUCAGCCACACUGGGACUGAGACACGGCCCAGACUCCUACGGGAGGCAGCAGUAGGGAAUAUUGGACAAUGGGGGCAACCCUGAUCCAGCAAUGCCGCGUGAGUGAUGAAGGCCUUAGGGUUGUAAAGCUCUUUUACCCGAGAUGAUAAUGACAGUAUCGGAGAAUAAGCUCCGGCUAACUCCGCGCCAGCAGCCGC
rnacentral:rRNA from 1 species